GUGCUCCCUUUGGCAGCACAUAUACUAAAUUGGAACAAUACAGAGAAGAUUAGCAUGGCUCCAGCACAAGGACGAUAUGCAAAUUCCUGAAGUAUUCCAUUUUUUU
ensembl:snRNA Gm22127 U6 spliceosomal RNA